rnacentral:lncRNA from 1 species
GGCCUGGCUCCAGGCUUCGGCCACAGUCUUCCACCAGGAUGUGACUGAAGGCCUGGCCGAGGUCUGCAGGCCACCUGGAGGGCACCUGGAGAGCCAGGAGCGUUGCUGGGCCCUGGGUCUACCCCACGACCCCUCUGCCUCUCCCCAGGCUGUGAGCUCCCCGAGGACGACGCCCCCUCUGCUUACACCACCUGCAGGCGCUCCAGCCCCGGCACUGGAAGGCCUUGGCCACCGACACAGCAGCCUCAUCUUCUGGCUGGAUAAACUCACCUCAGAGCCAAGCGGCCCCGGAGAAGCUGCCUCUGUGGCCCGGUCUGCAGGGUGGAGUUACCGUGGGUCCCUCGCAUCAGACAUCUGCCUGCGGACCAGACACCUGCUCUCCUCCAAGGAGCCUCAAUGUCCAGAGAAGGGAUCCUGCGGUGACCGAGGGACAGGCCUGUCUUCUGGGUCACCACAUCUUGGCAUUUAUUAUUUGCCCCCAGGAAGGUCUGAAGGAUUUUACUUUUAAAAACCAUAGUCAGCCGGGCGCGGUGGCUAACGCCUGUAAUCCCAGCACUUAGGGAGGCCGAGGCGGGUGGAUCACCUGAGGUCAGGAGUUCAAGAACAAUCUGACCAACAUGCAGAAACCCUGUCUCUACUAAUACUACAAAAUUAGCCAGGUGUGGUGGUGGGCGCCCGUAAUCCCAGCUACUUGGGGGGCUGAGGCAGGAGAAUUGCUUGAACCUGCGGGGUGGAGGUUGCAGUGAGCUGAGAUCACACCAUUGCACUCCAGCCUGGGCAACAAGAGCGAAACUCUGUCUCAAAA